GGCCCGUUAGCCUGAAGUUGGUUAGAGUGUCGUGCUAAUAACGCGAAGCGUCGCGGGUUCGGAUCCCCUCACGGGCCG